CGGGAACAAAAAAUAAAAAAAAAUAUUCUUAAAAAAUAAAAUAAAAAUCUUACAAAGACACGACUGUGACUAACCUGAUCAAAACCCUACACAGGUGUCAAAAAAUAAUCAACAAAUUACAUGGGCUGUGACGUAAAAAGAAACCACAGACAGUAACAAUAACGCGGCCCAAUCUCUAGUGUUGAUAUAUACUUUGUAAACACAACACAACACAACACACUACUCUAUCACAGUCCACAAAGCAAAAGUGAAAAACCGCUUAUUUAUCAAAAAGCGCGAUAGAACGAAAGCGAUUUUAGUGGAAAAAAGGUUUUUCAUAAUCGCCGAUUAUAAACUGCGGCGGAAUGGGGAGUGAAACUUUU
rnacentral:lncRNA from 1 species